rnacentral:rRNA from 1 species
CCUACGGGCGGCAGCAGUGGGGAAUAUUGGGCAAUGGGCGCAAGCCUGACCCAGCAACGCCGCGUGAAGGAAGAAGGCUUUCGGGUUGUAAACUUCUUUUGUCAGGGACGAAGCAAGUGACGGUACCUGACGAUUACGCCACGGCUAACUACGUGCCAGCAGCCGCGGUAAUACGUAGGUGGCAAGCGUUAUCCGGAUUUAUUGGGUGUAAGGGGCGUGUAGGCGGGAAUGCAAGUCAGAUGUGAAAACUAUGGGCUCAACCCAUAGCCUGCAUUUGAAACUGUAUUUCUUGAGUGCUGGAGAGGCAAUCGGAAUGCCGGGUGUAGCGGUGAAAUGCGUAGAUAUACGGAGGAACACCAGUGGCGAAGGCGGAUUGCUGGACAGUAACUGACUCUGAGGCGCGAAAGCGUGGGGAGCAAACAGGAUUAGAUACCCGAGUAGUC